GACUUAGUGCAGUGGUUUGAGCAUUGGACUAUGAAUCUGGAGACCAGGGUUGGAUUCCCAGCUCAGCCA